ensembl:lncRNA
GUCCGGCCGCCUCGCUGCGCGGAGUCUCUCGCCGAGAGAUGCGGGCUUGACGCAGACGCGGCAUCGGGGCUCCGGGUACCGGAGGGACGGCGAUGCUCGAGUCGAUGCCACAUGGAGGAAGCCGCUGCAUGGUAAGUGACAUUCUGUCAUCUGCUCAGGUACUAUUAAAAAUGCGCAACCAC